rnacentral:rRNA from 1 species
ACGGCUCAGUAACACGUGGGUAACCUAACCUAUGCGGGGGAAUAACCUCGGGAAACUGAGAAUAAUACCCCAUAGUCCACUACGCCUGGAACGGUGAGUGGAUGAAAGCUCAGGCGGCAUAGGAUGGGCCUGCGGCGUAUCAGGUUGUAGGGGGUGUAAAGUACCCUCUAGCCCUCUACGCGUACGGGUGUUGGGAGACAUAGCCCGGAGAUGGAUUCUGAGACACGAAUCCAGACCCUACGGGGUGCAGCAGGCGCGAAAACUUGGCAAUGCGAGCAAUCGUGACCAGGGAACUCCAAGUGGCUGGGGUAAGACCCAGUCUUUUCAGAACUCUUCAAAGGUUUUAGAAUAAGGGGUGGGUAAGGACGGUGCCAGCCGCCGCGGUAAUACCGGCGCCUCAAGUGGUAGUCGCUUUUAUUGGGCCUAAAACGUCCGUAGCCGGUUUGGUACAUUCGUGGGUAAAUCAACUCGCUCAACGAGUUGAAUUCUGCGAGGACGGCCAGACUUGGGACCGGGAGAGGUGUGGGGUACUCUCAGGGUAGGGGUAAAAUCCUGUCAUCCUGAGAGGACCACCUGUUGCGAAGGCGCCACACUAGAACGGAUCCGACGGUCAGGGACGAAGCCUAGGGGCACGAACCGGAUUAGAUACCCGGGUAGUCCUAGGUGUAAACGCUGUGGACUUGAUGUUGGAGGAGCUCCGAGCUCUUUCAGUGUCGAAGCGAAGGUGAUAAGUCCACUGCCUGGGAAGUACGGUCGCAAGGCUGAAACUUAAAGGAAUUGGCGGGGGAGCAC